rnacentral:miRNA from 1 species
CUCUCCCCUCUCUCUCUCUCUCUCUCUCUCUCUCUCUCUCGGGGAGAGAGAGAGAGAGAGAGAGAGAGAGAGAGAGAGAG